UAAGGAAUCUUGGUCAAUGGGCGCAAGCCUGAACCAGCUAUGCCGCGUGCAGGAAGAAGGCCUAAUAGGUUGUAAACUGCUUUUGUAUAGGAGAAAUAGGCUUCUGUGGAAGCUUAUGAUAGUACUAUAAGAAUAAGCACCGGCUAACUCCGUGCCAGCAGCCGCGGUAAGACGGAGGGUGCAAGUGUUAUCCGGAUUUACUGGGUUUAAAGGGUACGUAGGCGGCUUGGUAAGUCAGUAGUGAAAACUAGCAGCUCAACUGUUAGCUUGCUAUUGAUACUGCUAGGCUAGAGUGUAGUCGAGGUGGGUGGAAUUUUAUAUGUAGCGGUGAAAUGCAUAGAUAUAUAGAGGAACACCAAUAACGAAGGUAACUCACUAGGCUAUUACUGACGCUGAGGUACGAAAGCGUGGGGAGCAAACAGG
rnacentral:rRNA from 1 species